rnacentral:pre_miRNA from 1 species
GGAAGUUAAGAAACUGUUUCUUAACUUUUAACUAAAAAAGCUAAGAACUGGUUCUUAAAUAAGGAUUUUAAGAACCGAUUCUUAGUUUUUUUAGUUAAAAGUUAAGAAACAGUUUCUUAAUUUCC